AAAAAGUAAAAAAAUGUUGAUUCAGAGCUUGCCAUUCUGGUGGAAAGUUCAGCAUGAAGCGUAAGGUGUUGAGCAACCUGUGGAUUAACUACACUUUUCCUCGUGACAUAACUUUCUGGAUACUAUGUUCGUACCAAUAUGGAUUAUUCCUUGAAUACACAUUUAUGAAGAUUCCAUAGAUUCUCCGACUACCAAACUCAUUGUUUUCAGCAUCUAUCAUCGUUUAGUAUUAAAAGGUUGAAAAUAAUGUCAUCCAAGAGAUCCAUGACUGCAAUACUAAAGUGAUCGGAAAUGUUGUGACAAAGUAGUCACACGUACAAAAGUAGUAGUGGUAGUUAACAUGACACACGCAAUUUUUCUUAAAAUAAAGUCUGUUUAUUGAUCAAACCUACACGUGGAUCGCAGAGAGAAAGAAUAUUAAUAUGAAUUUAAACUGGGCUUCACAAUACUGAAGCAGAUAGAAAUUAAAUGUUAUUAAAUUAUAAAUACAAUUAAAAAGUUUAUGUAAAUCUUCAAUUGAGAACACUUACAUAAAGGUUUUUGAAAUAUA